UACGGAGGGGGCUAGCGUUGUUCGGCAUUACUGGGCGUAAAGCGUACGUAGGCGGCUUUGUAAGUUAGAGGUGCACGCCCGGGGCUUCACCCCGGAAUUGCCUUUAAGACUGCAUCGCUAGAAUCAUGGAGAGGUGAGUGGAAUUCCGAGUGUAGAGGUGAAAUUCGUAGAUAUGCGGAAGAACACCAGUGGCGAAGGCGACUCACUGGACAUGUAUUGACGCUCAGGCACGAAAGCGUGGGGAGCAAACAGG
rnacentral:rRNA from 1 species